rnacentral:rRNA from 1 species
AUAGCGUAUAUUAAAGUUGUUGCAGUUAAAAAGCUCGUAGUUGGAUUUCUGGAUUGAACGUUCGGUCCGCGUACUUUUGGUACGUGUGUACUAUGAAUGUUUGUUCCAUUUUACUAGAAAUGUUUUCUGCCAUUAGGUUGGUUGGGAGACAAUUUUCUAGUUCUUUUACUGUGAAUAACUCAGCUUGCUCCAGAAAGGCGUUUGCCAAAUUUUGAAUGCAUUAGCAUGGAAUAAUAAGAUAAGACUUUGGUGGUCUGUUUUGUUGGUUUACACACCAGAGUAAUGAUUAAUAGGGACAGUUGGGGGUAUCUAUAUUUCAUUGUCAGAGGUGAAAUUCUUGGAUCAAUGAAAGAUAAACUAAUG